GGAAACUCGAAGUUUUAUGUGAAGAUAUAUGGGAAAAACGGUUGCCUAAAGGAGGAUGUAACAGCUCUCAAAGAGCCUGAGCUGCUUCCAUUGGUAGAAGAAAAAGCACGGGGAAAAAGCAUUGUAGCUGAGCCUGCUGAUCAAACAGAUAAUGGGUCGGGAGACAUGGCUUCUUCAGUCACUUCAUUUGAAAUUGUCAUUAAGGCAUCCCACUUGAAC
rnacentral:misc_RNA from 1 species